rnacentral:rRNA from 1 species
GACGAACGCUGGCGGCGUGCUUAACACAUGCAAGUCGAACGGAAAGGCCCUGCUUGCAGGGUACUCGAGUGGCGAACGGGCGAGUAACACGUGGGUGAUCUGCCUUGCUCUUCGGGUUAAGCCUGGGAAACUGGGCCUAAUACCUGAUAGGAGCUAUUUUUAGUGUGAUGGUUGGAAAGUUUUGUCGGUGUUGGAUGAGCUGGCGGCCUAUCAGCUUGUUGGUGGGGUAAUGGCCUACCAAAGCGGCGACGGGUAGCCGGCCUGCGAGGGUGAACCGCCACAUUGGCACUGAGAGACGGCCCAGACACCUACGGGAGGGAGAAGGGGGGAAGAUUGAACAAGGGGCGCAAGGCUGAUGCAGCGACGCCGCGGGGGGGAUAACGGCCUUCGUGUUGUAGAAGAAAUGCGCUAGGGACGAAGCAUGUUGUGACGGUACCUAGAUAAGAAGCACCGGCUAACUACGUG